rnacentral:rRNA from 1 species
GAUGAACGCUGGCGGCGUGCUUAACACAUGCAAGUCGAACGGAAAGGCCACAGCUUGCUGUGGUACUCGAGUGGCGAACGGGUGAGUAACACGUGGGUGAUCUGCCCUGUACUUCGGGAUAAGCUUGGGAAACUGGGUCUAAUACCGGAUAGGAAYCACAUGUGGGUGKGKGGUUGGAAAGCUUUUGCGGUAUGGGAUGAGCUCGCGGCCUAUCAGCUUGUUGGUGGGGUAAUGGCCUACCAAGGCGUCGACGGGUAGCCGGCCUGAGAGGGUGUACGGCCACAUUGGGACUGAGAUACGGCCCAGACUCCUACGGGAGGCAGCAGUGGGGAAUAUUGCACAAUGGGCGCAAGCCUGAUGCAGCGACGCCGCGUGGGGGAUGACGGCCUUCGGGUUGUAAACUCCUUUCGUCAGGGACGAAGCGAAAGUGACGGUACCUGGAUAAGAAGCACCGGCUAACUACGUGCCAGCAGCCGCGGUAAUACGUAGGGUGCGAGCGUUGUCCGGAAUUACUGGGCGUAAAGAGCUCGUA